rnacentral:lncRNA from 1 species
CAGGUCACCCUAAAACUUAGGCAGCCAACCUUCAAGAUCAACAUUGACUGUGAACAGACAGUGAAAGUACUGAAAAAGAAGAUUGAACCUGAAAAGAGGAAAGAUGACUUUCUGGUAGCAGGUCCAAAAAUCAUUUUAUGCAGGCAAAAUCCUCAAUGAUGAUGCUGCUCUCAAAAAAUAUAAACUUGUUGAGUUUAUGGUGACAAAACCCAAAGCAGUGACAAUACCAGCUCCAGCUACAAUGCAGCAAUCAAAUCCUGCCACUGCUAUGAAGUGAGUUCCUCCGCAGCAGCUGCUGUGGCUCAGUCUGCAACCCUCAUCUCUGCCUUUGCUCCCACAUCCACACCUAUAUCUAUCACCCCAGCACCAACAACAGCAUGUCCUGAACAUGUACCUUCUAGUACAAUGAAACAAGAUAAACCUGCAGAAAAGUCAGCAGAAAUACCAGUGGCUACUAGCUCAACAUCAACUUAGAGUAGAGCAGGGGAUUCUUCUCUGCCAAACCUUUUUGAAGUUGCAAGUACACUUGUAAAAGGUCAGUCCAAUGAGAAUAUGGUAACUGAGGUCAUGUCAAUGGGCUAUACACAAGAGCAAGCAAUUGUGGCCCUGAGAGCCAUUUUCAGCAAUCCUGACAGAGCAGUGCAGUAUCUUUUAAUAGGAAUACCUGGAGGUAGAAAAAAUCAGGCUGUGGUUGAGCACCCCGCUCCUCCCCACCCAAUCAGGUACUACUAGGACUCCUCAGUCUUCAGCAGUGUCUUCAGCUGCUGCAACUAUGACAGCAACAACUACAAGUUCUGGGGAACAUCCCCAAGAAAUUUCACAGAAUCAGUCUCAGUUUUGACAGAUGAGACAAAUUACUCAAUAGAAUCCUUCCUUGUUUUUCCAGCAUUGUUAUAACAGAUAGGUCAAGAGAAUCCUUAAUUGCUGCAGCAAAUUAGCCAACACCAGGAGCAUUUUAUUCAGAUGGUAAAUGAACUAGUUCAAGAAGCUGGUGAACAUGGAGGAAGAGGUGGAAGUGGCAGGAGAGGAAUUGCAAAGUUGGAAGUGGUCACAUGAACUACAUUCUAGUAACGUUAGGAUAAAGAAGCUAUAGAAAGGUUAAAGGCAUUAAGAUUUCCUGAAAGACUUAUGAUAUGAGCAUAUUUUGUUUGUGAGAAGAAUCAGUUUGGCUGCCAAUUUUCUUCUAUAGCAGAACUUGAAUGAAGAU